rnacentral:rRNA from 1 species
UACGUAGGGGGCUAGCGUUGUCCGGAAUCAUUGGGCGUAAAGCGCGUGUAGGCGGACCGUUAAGUACCUUGUGAAAUCCCCCGGCUCAACCGGGGAACGGCUGGGUAUACUGGCGGUCUUGAGCCACCUAGGGGCGAGCGGAACAAGCGGUGGAGCGGUGAAAUGCGUAGAUAUCGCUUGGAACGCCGACGGUGAAAACAGCUCGCUGGGGGUGUGCUGACGCUGAGACACGAAAGCCAGGGGAGCGAACGGG